rnacentral:other from 1 species
AUUUCCCUGCCCUGUUGGUGAUCGACGGGAUGUUUGUUGAGCCAACAUCAUUGAACCGGGGACUUCCUCUCCCCGUCGCCGGGAAGGCGCCACGGCGCCGUCCCAAGCGGCGUGGACGAAAUCCCCACCUGGCUUCCAGAGGUUCAAUGGACCCCGGAGACACGGCAUGGGCGGGGGUUCA